UCGCUUUGGCAGCGCACACACUAAAACUGGAAUGAUGCAGAGAAGAUGAGCAUGGCCCCUGCUGAAGGAUGACAUUCAAACUCGUGAAGUGGUUCGUAUUUUU
rnacentral:snRNA from 1 species